rnacentral:lncRNA from 1 species
UGUGUGUGUGUGUAGAUUAAACAUGAACGGGCCAAAACGGACAUGGCAGCAGGUCAAAAUCAAAUACAAGAACAUUCUGCAGAAUGCAGUGAAAAAGAAUACCCACAGACAAGGCACGGGUGGUGGGUCACCAAAGGCUGACCUUACCCCAGCAGAGGACAUGGCCUUGGAGCUAAAUAAAGGCAGGCCUGUCUUAGAGGGGAUCCCUGGGGGGAAAGAGACGAGCAUAGGUUCCUCCCAAGAUGCCACCCGCUUCAUUCAAGUGUCUGGCAGCACUGUGUUCCUGUUAGAGCCACCAGCACAAGCACCAGACGAUGCUGAUCCAGGUGAAGGCCCCAGUGCAGCAGCAACAGCACAUGAUGGAGACGAUGAUGAGGAGGAGACCAUCUCUCUGGAUUCCAGAAGGCAUGAGGACCCAGAUGCUAUACAGUGGGAAAACCAGCCUGGCAACAUAGUGCGUAUUAAUAAAAGGACACCACAUCCUGCCAAAUUCCAGCUGCG